UCAAAAAUUAUUUUUAGCUUCUCUCUUUCACCUCUCAAAAUCCUUCACUUGUUCUUUCGGCUGCCAGAUGCCAGGUGAAUGCACCAAGAGUCAACUAUUUUGAAGCUCUGCCUUUUUGUUUUCUUGGCUCCAAAUUAGAAAGGCCCAAAGUCAAAGAGAAAUAUUAAAAUUCUCAACUUGGGAUUUCUCCCACAGCUGUAAGGGCUUUUCAUUUCAUUACAUAGCAAAUGUAUGAAUAACAAAAUGGAAAAUCAAGAAUUGUAGUAAUAUAACUUGAAAAUUCCACACCGAACUUGGCAUUGGGAAGAAGAAAACAAAAAUGGUGAAUGCAAACUUUGGGUUUCUGAUGAAAUUCACUAUUUUUUGAUUUGCUUCUUACUUUUUCUCUUCAUUAUUGAAACCUUCUAUCUGAGAUCAUUCUCUUUCUUUUUACGAAAUUGUCCUUUGUUUCUUUAUAUAUAUGUAAGAGAUUCAUGCUUCUAGUUUGUUAUUUUUGUUUUUUAGAGUGAAUUUAGAUAAUCAGGAAUUAAUGUCUCUCUCUCAUAGCACCUAGUUUAUUAACCCUUGUUAAAAGCUAGUGUUAACAAUAGUCAAUGACCAACUGGAGGAACUGGAGAGAUCCUCCUCUGGAAAGGAGCCUCAUCUGAUUUUGUGUACGAUUCAGUUUUGUCUGCUGUUAAUGUCACUGAAACGCCAUUCUCACAAGCUCCAUAGUCCACUCUCUCAGUACAGUAAUGAAUAUUAGCGAGUUGACUCAGUUCCAGAAGGACCAGAUGGAGGCGAUUCUUGGGCCUGACUCUAGUGUUCCUUUUGAAACCUUUAUCUCGGAUCUCAUGUCGAGCUCCUCUGAGGCUGAGUCAAUGUUGGACAUGAUCAAGCAGGAGAAUUCGAACUUGCUUGCUGUUAAGCUUGCUAACCUUCUUGACUCUCCCCAUAUCACUGAUGAUUCACGUGCUAAGUGUGCUAUCGUCCUCCAAAAUUUAUUUUUCGGGGAUGAUGGAUAUGGUUGGCGCAAUCUAAGUCUAUCGACUCGGUCCAGUGUGCAAUGUAUUCUUCUAAACCGUAUCAAGAUUGAAGAAUCAAAAUCCAUUAUCCAGACCCUUUACAUUACGCUUUGUGUAAGCCUCCAAGAUAACAAGGAGUCUGAAGUAUGUAGCUUGUUCAACCAAUAUUAUGACAAGUCCAGUUAUAUCAAGGUAAUAGAGCCUACUUUGUCAUUAGUUGCCCAGUGCGCCAAACAAGGAGAGGAUUUAUCAUCAGCCCCUUGGAUCAAGGAUAUGUUACUAGGUGCACUGAAUGGUUGCAGUGAUAUGAGAUUGAGGAUGGCGGCACUGAGGGCAGCGAUCGACAUCAUUCAGUGCCUCCCGAGUUCAAACGAUAAAGACUGGUAUCAGGGUUUGUUGCCAGCUUUGUUGGGGACCUUGACAGAAGCAUUGAGAAAAGGUGAGGAGGUUACUGCCAGGGAAGCGCUGGAACAUUUUGUUGAGUUUGCUGAGAAUGAACCUAGGUUCUUAAGGAUGCAACUAGUAGAAGUGGUGGCUACCAUGUUCGAGAUAGCAGAGAAUGAGAGUUUGGAAAAGGAGACGAGGCACUCGGCGAUUAAGUUCCUGAUAACUUUAGUUGAGGCGAAAAAGGAAGCUCCCGGCAUGAUGAAGAAAUUACCAUUAUUUACUAGCAACUGUUUUGCUAUGUUAUUGAAGUUGUUACAAGAUGUUGAGGACGAAUCACCUUGGAACAAUAUCCACAAGGUUGCAUUUAGGGAAUAUGGUAACAUUAUGGUUGGGAUCUGCUAUUUCGAUCGCUUGUCUCGUGCAUUAGGUGCUAAGACUAUUGCUCCUGUUGCUAAAGAGCAGCUCUCUGCUUACUUGGCUGCCCCUGACUGGGAGAAACGCCAUGCAGCACUUCUUGCACUUGCUGUUAUUUCUGAAUGUUGCCCGAAGGUGAUGCUUACGAGUAUGGAGGAACUGGUUCUGAAUUAUUUCCUGAACAUGGUUCUGAAAUGUUUCCAAGAUCCUCACCCUCGAGUAAGAUGGGCCGCUAUCAGGGCAAUUGCCUUGUUUUCGACCUUCUUCUGUCCACAGUUGCAAGAACAAUUCCAUGAUGAAGUAUUACCUGCAUUAGCUGCAGCUAUGGCUGAUUUUCAAAAUCCAAUAAUACAGGUACAAGCCUCGGUUGCUUUCUACAGGUUCUAUACAUCCUCUAAGCCAGAAACUUUGAUACCUUUCUUCGAUGGAAUGAUUAACAAUCUGUCUAUAUUUCAACAGAAUAACAAACAAAUGGUCCAAGAUGCAGCAUCAAUGGUGUUUACCGGUUUAGCUAAAUUGUCUAAGGAAUACUGCAGAAUAAACUAUGACACUGUUAUGCAGUACUUAAAAACCGCCAUGGCAAACAGAAACUCUAAUGUAUUAGGUCGGGCCAGAGCAAUGUACUCCAUAAGCUAUCUUGGGUUCGCUGUUGGCAAAGAGAAAUUCAGAGAUGACGCGAAACAGGUAAUGGAAGUACUUCUGUCAUUACUAGGAUCACAACUGAAGGUGGACGAUCGCAGUAAUAUUUAUCUAUUCUUGGCAGGAGCCAGAAUUUUCUUAUGCAUGGGGAAAGAAUUUCUUCCUUACAUGAGGGUAGCCAUCCCUUUUAUGAUUCAACUUGCUCAAGUUGAACUUGAUAUAACCAUCUAUGAUCAUUCAUACUCUGGAUUAUAUGGAUUAGAUUACGAUAGGGACAUUAUAGUCAAGUUUGAGGAAACAAGCACGUGCAUCAAAGAUAAUAUCCGACUAGAGGAGAAAUCUAUAGCCUGUCAUCUCCUUGACAUCAUUUCUGCCUUACUGGAGGAAGAUUUCUACCCAUGGAUUUCCCAGGCUGCUUCAGUCUUAGAUCCACUUCUGAAAUUCUACAUCCACGACGAUGUUAGGGAAAAUGCUAUUUUUGCAAUUUCAUCCCUGUUGCGUUCUGCUAAACUGGCGGUAGAGAAAGGGACUGCUCAAGGUGGAAACAAGUGGUACUUCAAGGAGUUGUCUGGCCGUAUAAUAUUGGCUUUGGGGGACGCAAUAUAUUCGGAGCAUGAGACUAAACUAUGUGAAAUUAUAUUGAAGGAAUUGAAUCAAUGCCUAAAGAUAAGUGGACCACAUCUCGAUGAAGAUCAGGUUCGUAGAAUCAUGAAUGGGAUAAAGCACAUCAUUACAGAAAGUUCAUGCAGAAAAGGAAAACUCACAGAGAGAGAAAAAUCAGAUGACUUUGAUGCUGAGGAAGCUGAAUUGCUGAGGGAGGAAAGAGAGCUAGAAGAAAAAGUAUUUUCUAGGGUUGGUUGCAUAUUGUUGACAUUGAUCAAAACCUUCAAGGCUGCUUUCUUGCCUUUCCUUGAUGAGCUUUCCUCAUAUCUAAUGCCUAUGACAGGCAAGGAUAAAACAGCUAAAGAGAGAAGUGCAUGUGUAAAUAUCUUUAAUAAACUUGUGGAGGAAUGCAGCGAAUCAUCUCUAAAGUAUUAUAACAUAUGCCUUCCUUUUAUUUUGGACUCGAGCAACGACGAAAAUCCAGUUCUUAGAGAGAAUGCACUUUAUGGACUUGGGCUUUGUGCGGAAUAUGGUGGUUCAGUUUUCAAACCAUUUAUCGGAGAGGCUCUUUCAAGGAUCAAUGUUGUGAUAACACAUGUACAUGCUCUUGCACCUGAGAAUGAACAGGCAUAUCAUGAUGCUGUUUUUGCACUUGGUCAGAUAUGUCAGUUUCAUCGGGAAAGUAUUGACUCCACACAGAUUAUUCCGGCUUGGUUGAAUUGUCUGCCUAUAAGAGGUAACAUGGUUGUUCACGACCAGCUCUGUUCAAUGGUCGAAAGGUCAGACAGAGAACUUUUGGGUCCCAAAUAUGAGCACUUUCCAAAAGUUUUGUCAGUUUUUGCAGAGGUUAUUUCGGUUCUAUGUGCUGGAAAAGAUUUUGCUACUGAAGAAAUGAAAAACCGAAUGAUUUAUCCGUUGAGGGAUCUACAGAAAACAGUACCAGCAGCCACCUGGGUACCGGCGUGGUCAUUGCUAUUGCCUCAGCAGGAGAUGGAACUGGAAUCCAUUCUAUCACCUAAAGAAGAUGCUAAUUUGUCAUCAGUGCAAUCAGGGGCAAAGUUAGGUGGAUGCAAGGGGCGUAAAUUGAAAGGCCGUCGUCAGAAACUUAUAUUGCGCAAAUAGGGUAAAAUAAUUCUCUUGACAAAAGGGAAGAUGCUAGUGGAGUGGCAAAGGUGGCUUAAAAGUUGCUUCAGGUUAUAAGUUCACAUCCAACCGUGGCAUUCUUGAAAUUUUCUGAUAUUCUAACUCCACUGCUGAGUGCAAUGAAGCUAUGAUUUCCACAACUUUGUGUCCUUCAAACAUUUUGCUGCUCACUUCUUCCUGCAAACAUCAUUCAUUUGGGGAGUGACGUUUUAUAUUGGCCUUCAUAGGUGUGCACGGAGUAUGAGAGCGUGCAAGCUAAAGGAAUGAUCCGGGAGCAACUGGGGGCAAAAGGUGCGAGAUUAGAGCCAAAACAGAUGAAAAAAGCAAAAAAGGGAAUUUCUAGUGCCACAGCCAGCGCCUAGCGCUACCUGUGGCGCCAGAGACAGUGUGCUCCAAAUUUACAGCGCCUAGCGCUGGGCUGGCCGCUGGUGGCGUGAUUUCUGUCCAACUUCGCCCGGGACAAGGUUA